UAUUAAGGAAUUGGUUUUGAUAUACACGUGCUACAUGUGUAUACAUAUCUGUUUUUAUAUGCAUAGAGAAACAUCUGGAAAGGUCCACAUCAUACUGAUAACAAUGUUUAUCUCAGGAUGGGCAUAGAGAUGAGAGGUAGGGUAGAGUCAAAACUUCAUAUUGUAUAUGCAUUAGUAGUAUUUGAAUUUGAAUUUUUUAAAAAGAAUGCCCCCAGGAACCUACUCCUAUCUUAUUGCCUAUCUGAUAAAGUCCUUGUUCUUUAGUAACCAAUUACCAUUCCUCAUCUUCUUAGUGAUUUUGUAUUCUACCAAAUCUUCAUUUUCAUGUUCCCAGUUCACAGCCCAAUGCCUGAUAGGUAGAGGUUCUCGAUAAACAUUACACAUCAUCUAGAAGGAAGACAAAUGUUGGUAAGUUUGUCUCCUUCAGGGGAUUACAAAAUCCUUCAAAAUAGCCAGAUUUUAUUCAGAUGUUCCCCCAAAGCCUAUCACAGCUCUCCAGAUACCAAGACUCAGUGCAUGUCCCAUAGAUGUUUCUUAAAUUGGUACCCAAAUGAAACAUUAUCCUACAGUUCCACAAGAUUGAUGUGCUUCCAGGCAGGUCUUCUACUCUGCCGAAGAUGGGAGCAAACAUGAAGCCUCAUUCCCCAAGAGCAUCUUCCCCAGGCCCUGGCCCAAGGGUGUUUUCUGUUAUUUAGCACUGGCCCCUCAAUCACAUGUACCUGGUUAGGCCACACUCAGUGACUCGGUGCAUUACCUGGGUCUGAGAUCCAGUUCUGAGAGUUGUCUCUCUCCUCUGGAUCCCUCAUCUCAGCCUGCCUUCUGACAGUUUGGGGCUCAACUGUCCCCCAUCACUAAUUUCUUUGCUCAUGCUCCCAGGGAGGGGGUGAAGAUGAUGAGACAGCAGACACCGUAUUCCACCUACUUUCCAAUCAUCUCACCCAUUUGACCCACCCAUUUUCACUCAAGAUCUUUAGCACCUAUACAGUGAGAGGAUCGCAUACUGUACCCUUCUCCUGUGACAGCUUCCAGUGGUCUCAGGUGUAUUUACCUCAUUCUCAACAAAACUGUACACUUCUUUUUAUUUUAGUUGAAUUUUUUAUUAAAGUAUAGUUGAUUUACAAUGGUGUUCCAAUUUCUCCUGUACAGCAAAGUGAUGCAGUCACACACACACACACACACACACACACACACAUUCCCUUUCUUAUAUUAUCUUCCAUCACGGUCUAUCCCAAGAGACUGGAUAUAGUUCCCUGUGCUAUACAGUAGGACCUCACUGCUUAUCCACUCUAAAUGUAAUAGAUAUAUCUACUAAUCCCCAAACUUCCAAUCCAUCUCACACCUUACCCCCUACCCCUUGACAAACUCAAGUCUGUAUUCUAUGUCUGGGAGUCUGUUUCUGUUCUGUAGAUGGGUUCG
rnacentral:lncRNA from 1 species